ensembl:snoRNA
GCACCUGCAUCUUUCCCAUUCUUGGCUGCUUUGUGCCUGUCUGGGGACAGGUGGUGCUACAGUACAAGCAGAGGAAAUCCAGACAGGUUAUCUUCUGUUUACUUUGGGGCUUGUCUCUACAACUCUGCCACACUU